GACGAACGCUGGCGGCGUGCUUAACACAUGCAAGUCGAACGGAAAGGCCCUGCUUUUGUGGGGUGCUCGAGUGGCGAACGGGUGAGUAACACGUGAGUAACCUGCCCUUGACUUUGGGAUAACUUCAGGAAACUGGGGCUAAUACCGGAUAGGAGCUCCUGCUGCAUGGUGGGGGUUGGAAAGUUUCGGCGGGUGGGGAUGGACUCGCGGCUUAUCAGCUUGUUGGUGGGGUAGUGGCUUACCAAGGCUGUGACGGGUAGCCGGCCUGAGAGGGUGACCGGCCACAUUGGGACUGAGAUACGGCCCAGACUGCUACGGGAGGCAGCAGUGGGGAAUAUUGCCCAAUGGGCGGAAGCCUGAUGCAGCAACGCCGCGUGCGGGAUGACGGCCUUCGGGGUGUAAACCGCUUUCGCCUGUGACGAAGCGGGAGUGACGGUAAUGGGUAAAGAAGCACCGGCUAACUACGUG
rnacentral:rRNA from 1 species